rnacentral:rRNA from 1 species
AUUGAACGCUGGCGGCAGGCCUAACACAUGCAAGUCGAGCGGAUGAAGGGAGCUUGCUCCUGGAUUCAGCGGCGGACGGGUGAGUAAUGCCUAGGAAUCUGCCUGGUAGUGGGGGAUAACGUCCGGAAACGGGCGCUAAUACCGCAUACGUCCUGAGGGAGAAAGUGGGGGAUCUUCGGACCUCACGCUAUCAGAUGAGCCUAGGUCGGAUUAGCUAGUUGGUUGGGUAAAGGCCUACCAAGGCGACGAUCCAUAACUGCUCUGAGAGGAUGAUCAGUCACACUGGAACUGAGACACGGUCCAGACUCCUACGGGAGGCAGCAGUGGGGAAUAUUGGACAAUGGGCGAAAGCCUGAUCCAGCCAUGCCGCGUGUGUGAAGAAGGUCUUCGGAUUGUAAAGCACUUUAAGUUGGGAGGAAGGGAAGUAUGUUAAUACCUUGCUGUUUUGACGUUACCAAAAGAAUAAGCCCCGGCUAACUUCGUG